GACCUCAAAUCAGGUGGAAUUACCCGCUGAACUUAAGCAUAUCAAUAAGCGGAGGAAAAGAAACUAACAAGGAUUCCCCUAGUAACGGCGAGUGAAGAGGGAUCAGCCCAAAUUUGUAAUCUGGCUCUUUCAGGG
rnacentral:rRNA from 1 species